rnacentral:lncRNA from 1 species
UGCCAUAUAUUGUGCCUUCCAUCACUGCUUCAAUAUUGUUCAGUGCCGGGAAGGGGAGGCCAAAAUCUUAUCUCCAAUGCCAACACACCACCUGGUACAAUUCAUGAAAGCCUGGUAGCCCGUUAAUAUCUUCUUCCAUAGACAGUUAUUUCAAAAAAAAAAAAAUCUUCUUCCAUUGACGGAUUUGUAUAAAUUGAGGGAUAAGUGAAUACAUUAUUUUGGGUUUUUAUUGUUAAAUCAUGA